UUAAGCGACUAAGCGUACACGGUGGAUGCCCUGGCAGUCAGAGGCGAUGAAGGACGUGCUAAUCUGCGAUAAGCGCCGGUAAGGUGAUAUGAACCGUUAUAACCGGCGAUUUCCGAAUGGGGAAACCCAGUGUGAUUCGUCACACUAUCAUUAACUGAAUCCAUAGGUUAAUGAGGCGAACCGGGGGAACUGAAACAUCUAAGUACCCCGAGGAAAAGAAAUCAACCGAGAUUCCCCCAGUAGCGGCGAGCGAACGGGGAGGAGCCCAGAGCCUGAAUCAGCAUGUGUGUUAGUGGAAGCGUCUGGAAAGGCGCGCGAUACAGGGUGACAGCCCCGUACACAAAAGCGCAUGUGCUGUGAGCUCGAUGAGUAGGGCGGGACACGUGGUAUCCUGUCUGAAUAUGGGGGGACCAUCCUCCAAGGCUAAAUACUCCUGACUGACCGAUAGUGAACCAGUACCGUGAGGGAAAGGCGAAAAGAACCCCGGCGAGGGGAGUGAAAAAGAACCUGAAACCGUGUACGUACAAGCAGUGGGAGCACAGGUUUACCUGUGUGACUGCGUACCUUUUGUAUAAUGGGUCAGCGACUUAUAUUCUGUAGCAAGGUUAACCGUAUAGGGGAGCCGGAGGGAAACCGAGUCUUAAUUGGGCGUUAAGUUGCAGGGUAUAGACCCGAAACCCGGUGAUCUAGCCAUGGGCAGGUUGAAGGUUGGGUAACACUAACUGGAGGACCGAACCGACUAAUGUUGAAAAAUUAGCGGAUGACCUGUGGCUGGGGGUGAAAGGCCAAUCAAACCGGGAGAUAGCUGGUUCUCCCCGAAAGCUAUUUAGGUAGCGCCUCGUGAAUUCAUCUCCGGGGGUAGAGCACUGUUUCGGCUAGGGGGCCAUCCCGGCUUACCAACCCGAUGCAAACUGCGAAUACCGGAGAAUGUUAUCACGGGAGACACACGGCGGGUGCUAACGUCCGUCGUGAAGAGGGAAACAACCCAGACCGCCAGCUAAGGUCCCAAAGUCAUGGUUAAGUGGGAAACGAUGUGGGAAGGCCCAGACAGCCAGGAUGUUGGCUUAGAAGCAGCCAUCAUUUAAAGAAAGCGUAAUAGCUCACUGGUCGAGUCGGCCUGCGCGGAAGAUGUAACGGGGCUAAACCAUGCACCGAAGCUGCGGCAGCGAACGUAUCACCCAAGACAACUUUACGGAGUUGACGAUUGACGGAGCGAAGCGACGUCAAAGCGUUCAUUAAAGUCGAGUUGGCUUAGGGAUACGUUCGUUGGGUAGGGGAGCGUUCUGUAAGCCUGUGAAGGUGUGUCGUGAGGCAUGCUGGAGGUAUCAGAAGUGCGAAUGCUGACAUAAGUAACGAUAAAGCGGGUGAAAAGCCCGCUCGCCGGAAGACCAAGGGUUCCUGUCCAACGUUAAUCGGGGCAGGGUGAGUCGACCCCUAAGGCGAGGCCGAAAGGCGUAGUCGAUGGGAAACGGGUUAAUAUUCCCGUACUUGGUGUUACUGCGAAGGGGGGACGGAGAAGGCUAUGUUGGCCGGGCGACGGUUGUCCCGGUUUAAGCGUGUAGGUGUGUGUUCCAGGUAAAUCCGGUUCACUUUAACACUGAGGCGUGACGACGAGGCACUACGGUGCUGAAGCAACAAAUGCCCUGCUUCCAGGAAAAGCCUCUAAGCAUCAGGUAACAUCAAAUCGUACCCCAAACCGACACAGGUGGUCAGGUAGAGAAUACCAAGGCGCUUGAGAGAACUCGGGUGAAGGAACUAGGCAAAAUGGUGCCGUAACUUCGGGAGAAGGCACGCUGACACGUAGGUGAAGUGAUUUACUCAUGGAGCUGAAGUCAGUCGAAGAUACCAGCUGGCUGCAACUGUUUAUUAAAAACACAGCACUGUGCAAACACGAAAGUGGACGUAUACGGUGUGACGCCUGCCCGGUGCCGGAAGGUUAAUUGAUGGGGUCAGCGCAAGCGAAGCUCCUGAUCGAAGCCCCGGUAAACGGCGGCCGUAACUAUAACGGUCCUAAGGUAGCGAAAUUCCUUGUCGGGUAAGUUCCGACCUGCACGAAUGGCGUAAUGAUGGCCAGGCUGUCUCCACCCGAGACUCAGUGAAAUUGAACUCGCUGUGAAGAUGCAGUGUACCCGCGGCAAGACGGAAAGACCCCGUGAACCUUUACUAUAGCUUGACACUGAACAUUGAGCCUUGAUGUGUAGGAUAGGUGGGAGGCUUUGAAGUGUGGACGCCAGUCUGCAUGGAGCCGACCUUGAAAUACCACCCUUUAAUGUUUGAUGUUCUAACGUGGACCCGUAAUCCGGGUUGCGGACAGUGUCUGGUGGGUAGUUUGACUGGGGCGGUCUCCUCCUAAAGAGUAACGGAGGAGCACGAAGGUUGGCUAAUCCUGGUCGGACAUCAGGAGGUUAGUGCAAUGGCAUAAGCCAGCUUGACUGCGAGCGUGACGGCGCGAGCAGGUGCGAAAGCAGGUCAUAGUGAUCCGGUGGUUCUGAAUGGAAGGGCCAUCGCUCAACGGAUAAAAGGUACUCCGGGGAUAACAGGCUGAUACCGCCCAAGAGUUCAUAUCGACGGCGGUGUUUGGCACCUCGAUGUCGGCUCAUCACAUCCUGGGGCUGAAGUAGGUCCCAAGGGUAUGGCUGUUCGCCAUUUAAAGUGGUACGCGAGCUGGGUUUAGAACGUCGUGAGACAGUUCGGUCCCUAUCUGCCGUGGGCGCUGGAGAACUGAGGGGGGCUGCUCCUAGUACGAGAGGACCGGAGUGGACGCAUCACUGGUGUUCGGGUUGUCAUGCCAAUGGCACUGCCCGGUAGCUAAAUGCGGAAGAGAUAAGUGCUGAAAGCAUCUAAGCACGAAACUUGCCCCGAGAUGAGUUCUCCCUGAGACUUAGAGUCUCCUGAAGGAACGUUGAAGACGACGACGUUGAUAGGCCGGGUGUGUAAGCGCAGCGAUGCGUUGAGCUAACCGGUACUAAUGAACCGUGAGGCUUAACCUU
rnacentral:rRNA from 1 species